UGGUAGUGCGGCGGCUUACACAUGCAAGUCGAGCGGAGACGAUACCAGCUUGCUGGUAGGCGUCGAGCGGCGGACGGGUGAGUAAUACUUAGGAAUCUACCUAGUAGUGGGGGAUAGCUCGGGGAAACUCGAAUUAAUACCGCAUACGACCUACGGGAGAAAGGGGGCAGUUUACUGCUCUCGCUUUUAGAUGAGCCUAAGUCGGAUUAGCUAGAUGGUGGGGUAAAGGCCUACCAUGGCGACGAUCUGUAGCUGGUCUGAGAGGAUGAUCAGCCACACCGGGACUGAGACACGGCCCGGACUCCUACGGGAGGCAGCAGUGGGGAAUAUUGGACAAUGGCGGAAACCCUGAUCCAGCCAUGCCGCGUGUGUGAAGAAGGCCUUUUGGUUGUAUAGCACUUUAAGCAGUGAAGAAGACUCCUCGGUUAAUACCCGUGGACGAUGACAUUAGCUGCAGAAUAAGCACCGGCUAACUCUGUGCCAGCAGCCGCGGUAAUACAGAGGGCGCAAGCGUUAAUCGGAAUUACUGGGCGUAAAGCGAGCGUAGGUGGCUUGAUAAGUCAGAUGUGAAAUCCCCGGGCUUAACCUGGGAACUGCAUCUGAAACUGUUAGGCUAGAGUAGGUGAGAGGAAGGUAGAAUUCCAGGUGUAGCGGUGAAAUGCGUAGAGAUCUGGAGGAAUACCGAUGGCGAAGGCAGCCUUCUGGCAUCAUACUGACACUGAGGCUCGAAAGCGUGGGUAGCAAACAGGAUUAGAUACCCUGGUAGUCCACGCCGUAAACGAUGUCUACUAGUCGUUGGGUCCCUUGAGGACUUAGUGACGCAGCUAGCGCAAUAAGUAGACCGCCUGGGGAGUACGGCCGCAAGGUUAAAACUCAAAUGAAUUGACGGGGGCCCGCACAAGCGGUGGAGCAUGUGGUUUAAUUCGAUGCAACGCGAGACCUUACCUGUCUUGACAUAUCUAGAAUCCUGCAGAGAUGCGGGGGGUGCCUUCGGGAAUUAGAAAUACAGGGUGCUGCAUGGCUGGUCGUCAG
rnacentral:rRNA from 1 species